GAUGCUAUAUUGAAUUUUUGGAGAGAAAGUGAAACAUGUCUGGGUCUAAGCAAGAAGUGAAUAUCUGCUUGGAGAUUCUGUACAAGAUGGUGGGGCUAGAGAAGCAACCUAGAAAGCAGAUUCCUUUACUGAUUCCUGUGAAGUGACUGUAGGACAGGGACAGGUGAAACAUUGGUUCUCGCAAAGAAAAAUGGAAAUAAUUGAGAUUUUUGGUGCAUGUGUGGAAAAUAAAGCCCCUUUAUCCAUAGAAUGGAUGCAUAUCCUUAAACAGCUCAUGGAAAAAUGUGCUGCAUUGAAGCUUGUUUUCUACUGCAUUUUUGUUGCAAAAUAUCAACUAUUAUGUGUAGAGAUCCCUAA
rnacentral:lncRNA from 1 species